AGUACACAAGAGGCAGGCGGAAUGCGUGGGUGUAGCGGUGAAAUGCAUAGAUAUCACGCAGAACCCCGAUUGCGAAGGCAGCUUGCUAGGGUGAAACAGACGCUGAGGCACGAAAGCGUGGGUAUCGAACAGGAUUAGAUACCGUGGUAGUCCACGCAGUAAACGAUGAAUACUAACUGUUUGUGAUACAAUGUAAGCGGUACAGCGAAAGCGUUAAGUAGUCCACCUGGGGAGUACGCCGGCAACGGUGAAACUCAAAGGAAUUGACGGGGGCCCGCACAAGCGGAGGAACAUGUGGUUUAAUUCGAUGAUACGCGAGGAACCUUACCCGGGCUCAAACGCAGGGGGAAUAUAUAUGAAAGUAUAUAGCUAGCAAUAGUCACCUGCGAGGUGCUGCAUGGUUGUCGUCAGCUCGUGCCGUGAGGUGUCGGCUUAAGUGCCAUAACGAGCGCAACCCCUAUCGACAGUUACUAACGGGUCAAGCCGAGGACUCUGUCGAGACUGCCGGCGCAAGCCGCGAGGAAGGUGGGGAUGACGUCAAAUCAGCACGGCCCUUACGUCCGGGGCGACACACGUGUUACAAUGGCAGGUACAGAAGGCAGCCAGUCAGCAAUGACGCGCGAAUCCCGAAAACCUGUCUCAGUUCGGAUUGGAGUCUGCAACCCGACUCCAUGAAGCUGGAUUCGCUAGUAAUCGCGCAUCAGCCAUGGCGCGGUGAAUACGUUCCCGGGCCUUGUACACACCGCCCGUCAAGCCAUGGAAGCCGGGAGUACCUGAAGCAUGCAACCGCAAGGAGCGUACGAAGGUAAUAC
rnacentral:rRNA from 1 species